CUGGCUCAGAAUGAACGCUGGCGGCAUGGAUUAGGCAUGCAAGUCGCACGAGAAUUCCGCUUUCGGGCGGGAGGACAGUGGCGAACGGGUGAGUAACACGUGAGCACCCACCCCCGGGUCGGGCACAGCCCGCGGAAACGCGGAUUAAUACCCGACGGUCCCUUCGGGGCAAAGAGCAAUCGCCCGGGGACGGGCUCGCGUCCCAUCAGCUAGUCGGCGGGGUAACGGCCCGCCGAGGCGACGACGGGUAGGUGGUCUGAGAGGAUGGUCACCCACACUGGGACUGAGACACUGCCCAGACUCCUACGGGAGGCUGCAGUCGAGAAUCAUCCGCAAUGGGCGAAAGCCUGACGGUGCAAUGCCGCGUGGGGGAUGAAGGCCCUCGGGUCGUAAACCCCUGUCAGAGGGGACGAAAAACAUGACGGUACCCUCAGAGGAAGCCACGGCUAACUACGUGCCAGCAGCCGCGGUAACACGUAGGUGGCGAGCGUUAUUCGGAUUUACUGGGCGUAAAGGGUCCGCAGGGGGUUUGCCAAGUCCGGUGUGAAAGUCCGGGGCUCAACCCCGGAACUGCGCCGGAUACUGGUGAACUUGAGUGCGCGAGGGGCAGGCGGAAUUCCUGGUGUAGCGGUGGAAUGCGUGGAUAUCAGGAAGAACACCGACGGCGUANGCGGCCUGCUGGCGCGCGACUGACCCUGAUGGACGAAAGCGUGGGUAGCGAACAGGAUUAGAUACCCUGGUAGUCCACGCCGUAAACGGUGCAGACCCGAUGCGGGGGGGUUUCCCUCCGUGUCCAAGCCAACGCGUUAAGUCUGCCGCCUGGGGACUACGGUCGCAAGGCU
rnacentral:rRNA from 1 species